GGCUUAGUUUGGGAUUGAUUUUGGAGCUGCUUUUGAACCUGCUUCUGCUUUUGGGCUUAUGCUAUGCUGUUUGGUAAAUUGUCUAGAAGCAGCUUUUGGUCCGAAUUGAUUCUCCUAGAAGCUGAAAUUGAGAAGCAGCCAAGUACCAGCUUUGGGAAGCUGCUUCUGUGGAAACACGGAGUGAAUAGGGAUUCAUUAAAUGAAAUUUACUCUUUUUUCCUAUUAUGUCCUCAUCUUUUCUAUGACUUACCUUUGACCCAGAUAAGUUUUUGUUAUGCAUUCGGGUUCUCUCUUCCCAGCCUCCUCUGCCGUCAAAGCUCAUUGCAUCUGCUUCUCUCUUCCCAUCGAUCGAUCUCUCAUGUGUCUUCAAAACCCGAUUCCGUCGCUUCUCUCUUCCCAUCGAUCGAUCUCUCCUCUGUCUUCAAAACCCGAUUCCGUCGCUUCUCUCUUCCCAUCGAUCGAUCUCUCCUCUGCCGUCAAAGCUCAAAAUUAAAGCUUCUCUCUGCCGUCAAAGCUCAAAACUGAAGCUUCUCUCUUCCCAUCGAUCGAUCUCUCCUGUGUCUUCAAAACCCGAUUCCGUCGCUCCUCCCCCACACGCCCCAAACCCAAAGCAUUCCCGGACCCCAGCUUCUUCAACCUCCUUUCGUACCUGCCUAGUCAUACAAUCCGGCGAAAACCCCACUGACAUGAGCGGCGCAGGGAACCGAGUAGUGAAGAGAUGGAGGAUAAUGAACAUGAUGGAGAUGGUCCGGGAAGACAAGAAAUGGAGGUGUUAAGAAAUGCAAUUGCACAAAGUCUAAUGAAUGCAUCUACUUAGCAUUUAGUUGCAAAUUUCAAGUGACUUUAAUUUAUUUUGUGUAAUGGUUCCCGUUGAACUAUGGUCGGGAAAUUAAUCCAAAUAUUCUUGACUUAUUUUGUGUAAUAGUAAAACAUAAUAUGCAUAUUGAAGAGUUAAAAGUAAAUCUUUUAUUCGGUCCAA